rnacentral:lncRNA from 1 species
AUCAUCAUCAAGAACCAUCAUAUCAUCUCCCCCUUUUUGUCAGAAAGCGCCAAAAUGACAAAAGGAGGAACCCCGCAACAUCUAAUAUGAAGCAUCUCCUGGAGGUAAAUCUGCUCGGCAACAUCCUAACUUGUCAAAAAUCAUAUUUAAUAACCGCUUCAUCUUGCUCACAUCCUUCCGUAUCGCAGCUUGCUCCUCAGACAGUUUCUGAAGCUCUUCAGAUAAACGUU